AAUAAUAAUUUUCAUAUCUUUCACAUAAACCAAUUUGUAGUAACGAAAUUGAUAUUUUUAGAUUCCUGUUAUACGAUAUGAAUCGAUAUUUAUUUAAAAAACAGUAUAUUUAUUCAUUGUGGAUAUCAUCUUGUAUUAUCUGCAGAUGAAUAGUAUUCUCUUUAGAUAAAAGAAAUUUAUCGAUCGUUUGAGGCGCUAAAGACAAGGAUAACAUUAAUAUAGGAGAUCAUAAAUCUAAUGCUUUAAAAAAAUAAAUAUUAUUGAUUAGUAAUUGUGUAGGGGGUAGUAAAGUAAUUUUUGAGUUCCAUAAAAGAUGGGAGUAGGUAAAAGUCAAUUUUCUGAAGAAGAGUUACAAGAUUACCAGGAUUUGACAUAUUUUACGAAAAAAGAAGUUCUGCAUGCACAUCAAAAGUUUAAAGCGCUUGCCCCAGAGAAGGUUGGUCAUAAUAGAAAUGCAAAACUUCCAAUGUCUAAAAUCUUACAAUAUCCUGAAUUAAGAGCAAAUCCUUUCGGAGACCGGAUUUGUAAAGUUUUUAGUUCUAGUCAAGAUGGAGAUUGUACGUUUGAAGAUUUUUUAGACAUGAUGUCUGUUUUUAGUGACGCAGCUCCAAAAGCUGUAAAAGCAGAACAUGCUUUCAGAAUAUUCGAUUUUGAUGGAGAUGAUAUGCUUGGUAUUGGAGAUUUAAGACAAGUUGUAGAUAGACUUACUGCUCCACAAAGAUUAAACGAGACAGAUAUGCAACAGGUUCUCCAAUAUAUACUUGAUGAAGCAGAUUUGGAUGAUGAUGGUGCACUUAGCUUUGCUGAAUUUGAACAUAUUAUAGAAAAAAGUAGUGAUUUUUCAAAGAGCUUUUGCAUACGUUUAUGAGACAUAAAGUAUUGAUGAGAAGAAUAGUAGAAAGGCAACAUAAGACUGAAUAUUAUAUUAAUAUCGAGACACUUCAAUAUAGUCAAUAGGCCUAAUAAUUUUUACCAUAAAAAAGUAAUUCUGAGAAUUUAAAAAGUGUAUUAAUGUUUCCUGAAGGCCUACUACGUGCUAAAAUUAGUUUCCUUCUUCCAACAUUACAUUAUAGAAUAUUUUACUAUCAUAAAUUAAUGAUGUUGUCGUAUGUAGUGAAAGAUCAGGGAGAUCAGGAAAAUAUUUGUAUUGGAUCACCCGGAAAGUUCGUUCCGAUCUUUGAGGAAUUUGGUGGACAUGAAAGAUCAUAUUGAAAAGUUUUUUGCCGAAAAACCUAAGAGGUUCUGAAAGGAUGGAAUAUUCAAGUUGCGUGGAAGAUGGAGAAAGGUUGUGAAACAAAAUGACACCUAUAUAAUUCAAUAAAUGUAUAUCGAAUCGAAAUGUAAAUCGGAUCGAACUUUCCAGGCGACCCAAUACUUGUACACAGCGAUUGUACUUAACGUUAUUUUUUUGAAUUCACGUAACAGCAAGUUUAAAUAACUUUGGGAUACUAAAUACUAUAAGUUUAUGUAUCCAUCUUGGAGUUGACUAUACAUUUAUCUAAAAAAAUGCCUUACAGACCUUACAGACAUUUCUUACUCAUAAAAAAAUAUUUAUCACGAAAUGUCUCUGAAAUGUCUCAAAAGUUUCUGUAUAACAAUAGUUUGAUAUAAUCACAAGGAGAAAAUAUGAUGAAGAGUCCUGUAUGUGAUGUAAGAUUCUCAAACGAUGAUACAUACCAGCAGCUUACUUUGUACAAGUCAUAGAGAAUAAUAAAUGUUCAAUAAGAUUAAACAAUAAAUAUUGCUGCAUUUUGUAAGAAGAAUCAUAGAAAAUACACGAAUUAUGAAAAAUGGUAGAUUACAUAAUAAUGGUGGUUACAUAAUACAAUAUAAUAUUCAUCUACCUUCGCACUUGAAUGAAAUAAAAAGGUUGAAAAUAAGAAGAAUGCGAAAGAAAUUAAGCAGAUAUUAAAGGCUUAAUUGAUUAACUAUGAAUUAAUUUACAACUAAAUGAUACCUGAGAAGUUGCUUUAAAAUAAGGAUAGAAUUUGAUAAAGAUCAAGGAUAUCCAUAGAAACAAAUCUAUCCCUUAAAUCUUUUGCUUUCUUUGUCUGUAUAUCCUGCAUUGUUAAUUCAUAUGCUGUUAAAAUAUCCAAUGACAAUGUAAGACAAACAAUAGGGAAUGGAAGAAAAUUUAAAAAUUAAAGUAAAAGAAACACCAUAAAAUAUAAUGAAAAAUGAAUGAAAAAUAAAUGAAGAAUGAUUGACACAUGCAACGAAUACAUACAGUGUAUACUAUCUCAGAAUUGAUGAUUGUUACUAAUAUAGUGAAAGGUUUAAAAUGAUACUUAAAGUGCAUCAUAAUAACUGAAGAAUCGGUCUGAUGAAAGCUAUCCUACAUCAUCAGAAAUAAUAGAGUUUCUCAAAGAGUAAUAUAAAAGUGGAACGAAAGUGGUGAGGUAAUAAAAAUAAGCUCAUAAUUUACUAACAAAAUACGAUUGAGACAAUAUAAUACAUGUUACUAUAACAAGGUAGAAAGGUCAGUAGAACACAGAAUAAAUAAUGAGACAAUCGUUUGUACAUUGAUGGUUUUCAGAGCAAAAAAUGAUUAGGGAUCGGUUCUGUGAUUAAUCUGGUGCCUUGGAACAAAGCGACACAAUUACAUGAAGAAAUAAAAUUCAUAUUCAGCUUUCACACGAGCACAGGGUGGUUGAAGCGGUUUAAAAAUCGUCAUUCCAUUCAUCACGUAUCCAUAGUAUGCAUUCACAGCGAAAAGUGAGAUACUGAUAAAACGACAGUCAAUUAUUUCAUGCUACAUUUAUUACUAUACUUGAGCAGCACUCUCAACUUCAUAAUAUCUACAAUAUGGAUAAAACUGAAUUGACGUAAAAGUAUAAUUAUCGUUUUAUAAUUAUUAUUACAUUAGUCUUUUAUUAACAGUCGAAUUAAUAGAUGGUAACAAUUUAAAAAUGUAAUAUAUUAUAUAUAUUAUACGAACGUAAAAAGCAUUUAAUGUUUGCAUGAAAUAAUAUAUGUAACAUAUGUAAUGUAAAUAUAGUAAUAAUAUUGUAAAUAUAUGUAACCCUUACAAGGUCACUAUUUUAUUUUUAGAAUUUCAAAAAAGUGCUUCCUGUAUAUGUCCUGUGAUUUCAGAUCGUAUUUAUCAUACGAUUUAAAAUGUAUUAAGAACAUUACAUCAUUAGCAGUAAAAUGUAAAUAAACAUAGAAUUUAUUUUAGUAGGUAAUUUUUAUUAAUAACAAAAUAAAAUUAUGACUAGGUGGUAAUAACUACAUAUGUAAUUGUAAAAAAUAAAACUGAGGUUAACCCCGCGAAC